CAGGGAACUGACCUGGGUUUCUGUCCAUCUUUGCUGCUCCUGGGCAGAUGUGAGCCCAUUCGAGUCUCACAACAGAUCUGUUCUCCUCCUUUUACUCAUGAGUCACUGGCUUGGGAGGCUCAGAGGUCUCUUGGUCACUGGAGAGCUGGGCCAGGACGUGCCUUGGCCACAGGCAGAGUGAACUUCCCCUCCCGUGCCCGAGUCUCGGCCUGGGACCAGCUGUGGGGACAGACGUCGGGUCUGCUGGCCAACAGUGUGGCGAGGACGGAGGGAGAACAGGCGAUCCAUCACUUCGUGUCACAACGUCGUAUUUCUUUCUUUGUGAGUUUGUUUCUUCAGCACUGUCCGACGGCAAUACAAUGGGAGCCACAUGUGCAAUUUAAAAUUUUCUAGCAGCUGCGAUAAAGUUAAAAGCAAUUCUGAAGGCGCAUACAAAGGAGAAGCCAUCCCCCACCAUACCUCGAGGAAGCGAUCCGGUCCGUGUGGCAGCACCUUCACAGUGCAGCGUGCGGCCCUCCCCUGCCCAGUGAGCACUUAGCCUGUGCAAGUGAGCUCCGUGGGGAAUCUCCUGGUCUUCACUGUGGGCUUGGGGGUCCUGCGUGCCCGCUCACCCCUGCCACUGUCACUGUGGGUUCGCUGCAUGCUUGCUCACCCCUGCCACGGUCACUGCGGGCUCGCCAUGCGCUGGCGCACCCCUGUUACGGUCACUGCAGUCUCAGAGAAGCCCAGUUGCUUAAGCAGGGCCACAGGACCAUGACAUGCAGGCCCCACCCUCUCAGCCCCUUCAUGUGGUUGUCACACUGGAGAGAAUGUGAUAUUCAUGCAUAAACUAUUUUGGG
rnacentral:lncRNA from 1 species